AGCAAUAAGGAGGAUCUGCAGAGAUGGAUUGCUUCUUACAAAAAUAAAUGGCCUACAUACGGUCUGACAGUGAUGUGUGAUGGUUGGACAGGUCCUACUAGGCGGAGCAUCAUUAAUUUUUUGACAUACUGUGAUGGAAAAAUAUUUUUUCACAAAUCAAUCGAUGCUUCAAAUAAGAUGCACGAUGCCACAUAUAUCCUUGAUCUGAUGGAGGAGGUGAUUGAUUCAGUGGGUGAGCAGCAUGUCGUGCAGGUCAUCACAGAUAAUGGACCAUAAUAUAAGGCUGUCGGGGAGUUACUGAUGGAGCAGCGACCGCAAAUAUGCUAGAUUCCAUGUGCUGCACAUUGCAUUGAUCUUAUAUUGAUGGAUAUCGGAAAGAUUCGCAGGGUGCAGCAGGUAGUGGACAUUGCCCAGACCAUUACUAGAUUCAUCUACAACCACACAUGGGUUCUNNNNNNNNNNNNNNNNNNNNGGUGACGAGUCAGUCAUUUUGGCAGUGGACUGAGAAGAUAGUGAAGGCUAUCAAGCCUUUAUAUGAGGUGCUUCGCGCCGUGGACAGCGAGAGAUACCCCCAGAUGGGUUUCUUAUAUUACAUGAUGGAGAGGACAAAGAAACAGAUCAGUGAGAAUGAUCCUAAGCAUGCUCAAGAAUUCAUUAACAUUAUUGAGCACCGUUGGGACUAUCAGAUGGGCAGAGAUUUGCAUCUAGAUGGUAAGUUUGGAUUCAAGAAUGUUUUAAAAUAUUUUUUCGAAGCAUGAAAAUAAAAUUGUGCUUAAUCAGUCUUGAAAUUUAUCUGCAGCUUAUUACUUGAAUCCGAGAUUUCAGUAUACUAUUCCGGGGAUAGAUAUGGAUAGCGAGCUUCUUGCUGCUCUUCGCAAUGUCAUAUAUAAGAUGGUGCCCGAUCCAGAAAUCGCAUCGUUGUAUCUGCAAGAGGUAUGCUAGUUUAAAACAGAUGUAAUUAUUCAACUGAAUUCGAUCUGAUAUAUUUAUAAAUAAUAAAUAUAUUUUGUUUUAGACGAAACAGUUUAGAGAGGGAUCAGACAGUUUUGGAGUCCCAUCAGCUGUCGUAAGCAAAAAGCAGAUGAAUCCAGGUAAAUUACAUAUCAAUAAUGAGCAAUUUAGAUUGAUAUGUAAUUUUGCUUAAUAAUAUCAUCAAAUUUGAUAUGUAAUUUUGCUUUUGUAGCUGAAUGGUUGAUUCAUUUUGGAACGUCAGCAGAAAAUUUGAGACAUAUAGCUGUCCGUAUUCUUUCUCAGACGGUCUCUGCUAGUGGUUGUGAGCAUAAUUGGUCCACUUUCGUCCUUAUCCACAGCAAACAGAGAAAUCGUCUGACACAAAAAUGCCUUGACGAUCUUGUAUAUAUUCACUACAAUCUGAGGUUGAGGCUAAAAUGUAUUCAGGAGGAAGUUCAGUUGAAGUACACUGAUCCGACGUUGGAUGAUUAUGCCGACGAGGAUGACGAUCCGAUCAUCGGAUGGUUUGCAGGUCAGCAGCAAGAGCCAGAGCUUGAUGAGUCAGGAUCCCCUCCACGACCAGCCAGUGUGGUGGCGAGGGAGAUCAGGGUGGAUCCAGAGCAAUGGGCAAAAAAAAAUAUUCCACAUAGGGUUCUAGCUGAUCAGCCAUAGUCUGAGGGGACACAAGGGACUCAUUCAUCACAUGACUCGCUAUCCGAUACAUCUUCCCAGAGAUUCGAGCGGGAGAUGUAUAGACGAUUCUCUCGGCAGCCAGCAAGAAGGCAUCCAUCUUCCCAAUCACAGGAAACUCAGUCACAGAAGGGCACAAGGAGGGAAAGGAAAAGACAGUUGUACGUGCACCACUCUCGAAAGUACAGGAGCUAUCUAGUUUAGAUACGGACACCAGGGAGAGUGAUGAUGAUACUGGUAGUAGUAGCCAUGGAUCUAAUGAUCAGGGAGGAACUGGAGGACAGGAGACCACCGUUUAUGAGACAGCCACAGGGUGAUAUUCGAUUCACCGGUGAGUCUCAGUUUGCGCAUGUCACACAGGAUAGGGAUCAUGGUGGGCGANNNNNNNNNNNNNNNNNNNNCUCUCGGCUCGGCAUCAUUGGAGAUGCAAAUAGUGCAACACAGAGUUCAAGAAAGAAGGAGUGACUAGGUUGAAGCAGCAUCUGACUGGUGGUUAUCCUGAUGUGUCCAUGUGUCAGAAAUGUCCGCAAGAGGUCCGAUAAUUGAUGAAAAAGCACUUUGCUAAUUUGAAAGCAGUGAAGGAAAGGGCAAAGCAGAAAAAGAUGAAGUAGACCGUCGAGCUGCAGAGCCACCUUCUUAUCACUCUAGAGAGUCAGAGGAAGCUUCUGCUCCAGAUGAUGAGGAGGCACAGAUUGAGACUACCAUUCAGACGAGCUUGGCGGAUCAGUACCAGCAGGAGGAGAUGGCCCGGUACAGAGAGCGAUUCGGACCAUCGUGCUAUGAAUCAGGAUCUGGAUCAGCGACUGGUAGGGGAGAAUUUGAGUUAAGGAGGACUACCUCAGUCAGAAAGCCUGGUGGUAGAGGGAGCAGACGCAGCAUGUCUUCUUUGUUGGGAGCUUUUGGCAGUAGGAGGAGAUCCUCCAGAGAUAUUCCAGCAGGAGCCAGCAUUCAGGAUUUGGAUCCACAUGCUUUGCCCAGCAAGGAUUCAAAACAGCAGAGAAUUAACAGUAUGCUGAAAAAAGAUAAGAAGAAGGAUAUGUGGAGAGCUAUUGGAUCAUGAUUUUAUUUCAGCCAUAUUUCAGUAAAUGCAGCAGCCAAUCCUUACUACCGAUCUGCUAUUUCAGCCAUAGAAGCUGCCUACCAGGGUGUAAAUCCUCCAAGAUCUAAGGACAUCUAUGGUCAGCUUCUUGACAGCAAUAAAGAGGAUCUGCAGAGAUAGAUUGCUUCUUACAAAAAUAAAUGACCUACAUACGGUCUGACAGUGAUGUGUGAUGGUUGGACAGGUCCUACUAGGCAGAGUAUCAUUAAUUUUUUGACAUACUGUGAUGGAAAAAUAUUUUUUCACAUGAUGCAACUGCGGACGAUCUUGCACGUGGAGUAGGAUCCAUGGAUGUAUCUGGAUCAUCCUCGCAUUAUGGAUCCUAUUAUCCACAGCCACCUUAUGAUCCAUAUGCAUAUGGUGCAUCCGAGGCAUCAUUUUCUAGUGGUUACUACCCUAUGCAGUCUGGAGCAUCUUACGGAUCAAAUUUUGCUACUGGCAUAUUUGGAUGGGCUCCUCCACAACCGUACCAUCAUCUCGAGGAUACUUCUCAGAGUCAGAAUUUUAGCGAGAGGUCUGAGAUGUCUUACAAUCCAGAGAGGAUGUCUUAUGGGAUGAUGAAUAUUCGAGAGUACAGUG
rnacentral:lncRNA from 1 species